AAUAAGUGUAGUUUUGCAUUAUUCAUGUCUAACCUUUAACCGUUCGUCUUAUUUGAAAUUUUUUUUAUAAUUAGUAUUUUUAUUAUUAUUAGAUAAUAAAACAUGAAUAGUAUUUUAUAUGGGACUAAUUUUUUUAAUUUUUUCAUAAAUUUUUCAAAUAAGACGUACGGUCAAACGUUAGACACGGAUAUCCAUGGCUGCACUUAUA
rfam:Oryza glaberrima chromosome 11 Oglab11_0167_22, whole genome shotgun sequence.